AUUGAACGCUGGCGGUAUGCCUUACACAUGCAAGUCGAACGGUAGAGGGGCAACCCUUGAGAGUGGCGAACGGGUGAGUAAUACAUCGGAACGUGCCCAGUCGUGGGGGAUAACGUAGCGAAAGCUACGCUAAUACCGCAUACGACCUGAGGGUGAAAGCGGGGGAUCUUCGGACCUCGCGCGAUUGGAGCGGCCGAUGGCAGAUUAGGUAGUUGGUGGGGUAAAGGCCUACCAAGCCUGCGAGCUGUAGCUGGUCUGAGAGGACGACCAGCCACACUGGGACUGAGACACGGCCCAGACUCCUACGGGAGGCAGCAGUGGGGAAUUUUGGACAAUGGGGGCAACCCUGAUCCAGCCAUGCCGCGUGAGUGAAGAAGGUCUUCGGGUUGUAAAGCUCUUUCGGUCGGGAAGAAAUCGCAUGGGUUAAUACCCUGUGCGGAUGACGGUACCGGCAUAAGAAGCACCGGCUAACUACGUGCCAGCAGCCGCCGUAACAC
rnacentral:rRNA from 1 species